rnacentral:rRNA from 1 species
CCUACGGGAGGCAGCAGUGGGGAAUAUUGGGCAAUGGGCGCAAGCCUGACCCAGCAACGCCGCGUGAAGGAAGAAGGCUUUCGGGUUGUAAACUUCUUUUCUCAGGGACGAAGAAAGUGACGGUACCUGAGGAAUAAGCCACGGCUAACUACGUGCCAGCAGCCGCGGUAAUACGUAGGUGGCAAGCGUUAUCCGGAUUUAUUGGGUGUAAAGGGCGUGUAGGCGGGAGCGCAAGUCAGAUGUGAAAACUCAGGGCUCAACCCUGAGCCUGCAUUUGAAACUGUUGAUCUUGAGUACUGGAGAGGCAGACGGAAUUCCUAGUGUAGCGGUGAAAUGCGUAGAGAUUAGGAGGAACACCAGUGGCGAAGGCGGUCUGCUGGACAGCAACUGACGGUGAGGCGCGAAAGCGUGGGGAGCAAACAGGAUUAGAUACCCCAGUAGUC